AUGAUUUAGACACAAACGUCCUACCCAUAAUAUCAAAGACAACUUUUUCAAUGAAACAUUAAAGAGCAUACGACACGAGAAAAAAAGUCUUCAACGGCAUUAUUAUGUGAAUUAGAAUCAUAUUUUGAGACGAUUCGACUAUAUACAACAAUUUAGCAAAGCACAGAUGACGAGAAAUUAGCCUUUUAAUCUGCCGGUUAGCCACGCCUUCCAUUAUAGGGCUUUAGCGUCCCCAACAGGUGGAUGACGUCAGCGGUAGACUGGGCUCAUCGAUUUUACUAUUCAGCCCAUUGAGGGGGAAUUAUUCAGAACGAGGAAAACGCGACGAAGAAAGCCGCAAAAUGUCAUUGUUUCAGUCUCUCUACUCCAAUAUUUUUACAGGAUAUUCUUUUUAUCCAAGUAUUUUUCCCCAAUAGCAAUAUAAAUGGCUUGAGAAGGACCAGUCAGCCCGUCGAGGGGGAACUAUUCACAAUGAGGAAAACGCGACGAAGAGAGCGGCAAAAUGUCAUUGUUUCUGUCUCUUUACUUCAAUAUUUUUUACAGGAUAUUCUUUUUAUCCAAGUAUUUUCCCCAAUUGCCAAAUAAAUGGCAUGGUCAUGACAAAUAACAGUCUUGUGCUGAAUGGAAUAUGAAAUAAUAAAAAUGCAUUUAUUCAGGACGACAUGGCAAAAUUACUCCAUAAUGGUCAAAACUGUCGACUUCACCUUUACUGUCGCACCUCCCGAACUAUAUUUUAUGACACCUAAAUCGAACAUAUGUCAUUUCCCUUCCCCGGCUUCGGAGAAUGUAAACAAACCAGAAGGCGUGACAGCUAGCCGACAUGCUAACCCGAACCGAGUGAUGUUUCAAAGUCUUCAAAGCGGAAAAUCACACAUAACUAUCCUGGAUUAUUUGACAUGACGACCCGGUUGUCUAUUGUCGUCGCGGAUCGGCAAACCGCCCGGCGGAGAGCAAUUUACAGUUCGUUCCCCGGAGGAGGGUGGCUGGAGUUAUUGUGCCGCUAACGUGCUGCUGCUAAUGAGCAUUAGGACAGCUUUUUACAUGCCUAUCAAUGAUCAAACAGAAGAAUGUUGGAGAGACCUUUUAAAAUUAAAAAAGCAGUGAAGCAAAACCUCCCUUUGUCAUCCAUGCCUGCUGUGAACUCACUCGGGAGCGCGCACCCGUCCGGUCUGCCAAGCUUCACCGGCGCCAGGGACGCCCAUCGCUCGGGCCCGUGGGCCGCUUUCACGCCGGGUUUAUUCCCGGCACGGUGAUCAGGGGGAUCAAAGCGGCAACUGAUAGUGACAAAGCUACUCGCGGCCUUUUCAACAUGUUGUCAGGGCUCCGGACACGAGCGAGCGGUACUGAAAAAGAAGAUACAGGAGGAGAAGUCUUAAAGUCAAAAGCUGCUGAAAAGGAGGGCACGGG